GUUUGAUCUCAGACUGCUGUGCUAGCAAUCAGCGAGACUCCGUGGGCGUAGGACCCUCCGAUCCAGGUGCGGGAUAUAAUCUCGCGGUGUGCCGUUUUUUAAGCCAGUCGGAAAAGCGCAGUAUUCGGGUGGGAGUGACCCGAUUUUCCAGGGAAGACACACCCAGCUUCAAGUUAUUACAAAAGGAGGAAAUACUGAAAAUCUGAAGAUUCUCCUCAGCCCGAAAAUGGAGGAGAAACAAGGAAAAAAAAAUAAUGAAAGAAGGAAGAACCUGGUGAGGAGCAAAAUGCUUUCAUGAAUGGCAUUUGAGAGUUUGUAUUAGUUAACACAGGCAUCACUACUUCCAAUUGAUCUCAGGAUGUGGGAUCCUCAUACACAUUUUGAACAAAAUCCUCUGUUUCAGCAAGGAAUUCAUAUUUGCAUAUGGUGAAGGUUGGGCUGACUGCUCCAUCUCUCAAAUCUCUAGAUGUAGGGGGAGUCCCAACCACAUCAGCACUAGGCUUGGUACUGAA
rnacentral:lncRNA from 10 species